rnacentral:lncRNA from 1 species
GGUUCAAACUAGUUUCCUUUUGGCCUGAAAAGCUCAAAAACAAUGUUUUAGUGUUUCUGCACUGGUUUCUAACAUUACAGUCUAUGAUGGUCAUGCCUUGGUUGAUUGUAAUGGAAAAAUUUUACCUUAGUGCUGUUUCUUAUCCAACACACUCGUUAUGUGUUGGUUAGGUGCAAUAAUGAACAUUCUUACACAAACAAAUAAUCUCUUGUGCCCUGACGUAUAUCAAGUCUAAACAUCUGAUGUUUCAUUUGACUUACUAAUAAUUUAUGAUAUAUGUUUGUCUUUUACACCUGGACUCUGGCUCCAUCCUAUCUGACUCCCCACCAGACCCAGGGCUGGUAAAGCGAAUGCAUCUUGUCUUGGAAGCUCGGUGUUCCUUCCUUUGGAUAACAAGACAUGACGAUGCAGAAGUGAGAAAGCAAACAUUCUCACUCACAGCGAGAUAAAGUGGCACAAACAUUUCCAUUGCUGCAGAGAGACAUUCCACCAGAGCCAGAGUAAUGGGUUAAAAGGCAGAAGCAACUUGAGGAUCGUGGGCUCUUUGCAUCACACCUUCGUGGUGUGUGCACUGAUCUCCCCAGCUGGUUUUAGGUUUGUUGAUGUGCACGAUCAACAUCCAUGCUUUUUAAGGACUAGGGUCGCUCAGCCUCCAAACCUCUACAGCUGUUCUGAGUGGGAGGACUGCUCACCCGUCUGGAUCGCCUCUGACGAGAUCCAACGAACUCAAAAUCCAACCUCUACUCGGCCCGGUGAGAGAAAUUCCUUUUUGUUGCGACUUGUUAAGGAAAAAAAAAACGGGUUUGAAAUUGGUUUCAGGUAUUCGGGGUUUACUUGGCUCUGAUCAUUUGGUUUAGGGAAAGUAAGGCAAAUAACAAUUAAUUCUAAAGCAUCCCCUACUAGACUAAAACAUAAAAGAAAACAUAAUUAGGACUAGAGAUGAUAAUAUUUCUAAAACGACUAUUUGGCUGAAAACAUCCAAAAUAUAAUAUUAGGAAAAGAAUUAUAAUUUUAAAAUUUAAUAUUCGUCCAAAAUUUAAUAUUAGGAAAAAAAAUUAUAAUUUUAAAAUUCAAUAUUCAGGUAAAAUU